UUCUAGGAAGAUGUGGCCAAGGAGAAACAACUUCCUAUUCCUAUCCUGUAGCCUGCCAAGCCUGAGAAGCUACCUCCCUGAAAAUCUUCCUAGGACUCCUCAGCUUCCUCAAUGCUACCAAAUACCCACUAUCUCCAUAGACACACACAAAUCCCCUCCACCCACAAUGAUGUCCUGGUAAGCUACUUGGUAUCUUACUGCAACAAGUAUUCAAUGAAGAAGCUUGAUGUCUGUGCUAAAGAUGCCAUCCCCUGAGGUUCUGAAAGCUGUAAAUGCUCAAGCUCCUGCAGCAGUGCUACUCAGGGGAAGACAGCCCCCACUCUCCGUGUCACACUUUGUAUCUUGGGCACUAAAGCAGCCCUGCACUUAAUCCAUUCCUUCUGCUUUUGCAUGUAACCCCUGUCUACUCAGGGCUCAUGCAAAUAACUGGGUGAGGUUUACAGGCCUUGGUAAGCUCCUGUCCCAUCCCUCACAGAUGUGUCAAUUGCACUUCUUGCAAAACUGCUUGUCCAAGUUGCUAGCUUGUGGGCUGGUCUUCACCUGACAUUAGUACUUGGGCAGUUAGAGUUUUUGAUCUUUUAGACUAUAAGUUUUUAGUGAGUCAGGUUUUCUGUUUAAUUCUUCACAGCCAUUUUACUUCACAGUAAAAUGGUAUGGUUUUUGCUGUAGCAUACAGGAAUAUCUAGAAUAGUGGGGGUAUGGAAAAAAUGUUUCACAUUUAGUUUAGAGCUAGUCUUCUUUUACAUUUUCUUAUAUUCCAUUUUGUUAAUUUCUAGUAUUUGUUAAUUUCUGUCAUUUGUUUAUUUAACAUUUAUUGAG
rnacentral:lncRNA from 1 species